AUCCCCACAGUGCAGGUUGGGAAACUGUGAACUAUUGGAGAAACCCAGUGGGUUAGGUAGGACACAGGACUGGGAAAAAAGAGACAUAAAGGUCUGAAUUCAGCUCCGGGUCCUCACAGGUAGACCUCAUUGCAUGUUCAGUGGGUUGUGUCUAUGGCAUUUCAUGGCUCAUGAUGUACAGGAUGGCAUGGGGGAAGCAUUCAUCUGCCAAGAAGGGGCUCAGGAUAGGGCUGACUGGAGGAAGGGGCCCAGGUCCCAGGAUCUCGAAAAAGUGAUGUCACUUCCUUGGUGACAGCCCCGCAACUGAUUCGGAACUCUGGUGACCAGGCACCUGCAUUCCACAACCGCUCACCUUACUGGAGACGGUUGAGAGAACAAGAUGUCCUCUUGCUGUUGUCCUACGUUGAGGCGCUCUGGGCUCCGCAGAGUCCAGAGUGAGAGAUGUUCACGUAGCUGUCGACGUCGGCUCGGCCCUCUUCUCCGAAGCUUCUGCUUCUGUGGCGGGAGACCUCAACAGGAAUCAACCCUAUCCCUGCGUGAGGCCCGGACCAUGCUGACGCUCAGAGAAGGGAGAGUGGAUGAUUUGCUACAGUCCUUGGUGCCAUCCUUCCAGGACAGAAGCCUCAUCAUCAACCCAGUCAUUUCAUGUCUCUACCAAGUGUUCACCGCAGCCCAACAAGUCCUGGGCCAGCAAUUCUCUGGGUGAGUGACCACCCCAUACACAGCACAGGGGCGGGGGGCUCGCCUCUACUACCAGUAUGUUUCGGCAAUGUCAUUGCACCUCUCUGAGCUUCCGUGUCCUCCUCUGAAAAGUGCUGGGGUAAGAGGAUGAACCUCAUGAGGCUACUGUGGGAAAUCCGGAGAGGAAACAUGGCCUGGACUUCUCUGGGGCCUGGCCCUGUAGAAAGGGCUGCUGGGCAUCUUCCCGUGGAGCAGUCGUCUCUCCCCAGCGAACAAGCUCUCCUCAUCGGCCCUCAUGGGCCUGUGGCCCUCUGGGUUGACAGAAGCACGGACAAAGCAGGCCGUUUGCCUGUGUGCAAAGGACUUCUCAGAUUCCAUCUCACUGGUCCUGAUACUUGUCCUUUAUGUGGCCAGAGGAGAGGUCACUGAGGAAUGAACGAGCAGCUUCAGGUCCACUCAGGAGAUGGAAAGUGCUGGUUGGGAGUCCGUCAUCCAAUAACACAUAUUAAGCACCGAGUACUGCAGACACAUUUCUAGUCACUGAGAUAUUUGAAGGAAUAAAGAACAUACAGCGUCUCGGUCCA
rnacentral:lncRNA from 1 species